AUUGUAUUGUGACGUCUCCGCAGGUAAGGAAAAUGCCUGUUCGCAGCACUGCUGAAGACUACGCAGAUGAGACAUGGUACCCUCACCUCUGUCAGCCUGAUGUCCUCCCAUCAUGUUCAAUGAGUCAGCGGCUGAGUGUUCCAUAACAUCGCUCCGCUUCAUCAGAGCAUGUGUUGAGAUCUCUUCUGGUGAUAGAGAGCUCUCCCUCAGCAGGUUCCCGUUAAUAAGCCUGUCAGAAAGGCCAGGGAGAGCCCGUCCAAAGCAGGUUAUCUCCUCACCGC